rnacentral:siRNA from 1 species
AGCCGCUGGUACUCUCUAUCCG